GUUUACUGGAUAUCGGAAACGUUUACUGCAGACCAGUGUAAUACCAAUAGAUGGGAUGGAUCAAGCACUGUAAGUGGUGCCCCACACCUGGCAUGGAAUUACAUGGACUUUUUUGAGCAGGAAAUAAAUCAGGGCUCUUUUUGACUAUGGCGACUAUGAGGGAGGACUCAGGUCCCAGUGCCCCUACUGAUACCACAGGCUCCGCCUCCAGUCCACAGAGUGACGCCGUAACCAAUGAGCUGCAAGAACUGUCUCUUCAGCCCGCCCCCAACUUACUUCCUAUUCAUGAGAGGA